AGUGAACGCUGGCGGCAGGCCUAAUACAUGCAAGUCGAACGGCAGCACGGCAGAGCUUGCUCUGUGGGUGGCGAGUGGCGGACGGGUGAGGAAUACAUGGGAAUCUGCCCAGUCGUGGGGGAUAACGUAGGGAAACUUACGCUAAUACCGCAUGCGCCCUUCGGGGGAAAGCCGGGGACCUUCGGGCCUGGCGCGAUUGGAUGAGCCCAUGUCGGAUUAGCUAGUUGGCGGGGUAAUGGCCCACCAAGGCGACGAUCCGUAGCUGGUCUGAGAGGACGAUCAGCCACACUGGAACUGAGACACGGUCCAGACUCCUACGGGAGGCAGCAGUAGGGAAUAUUGGACAAUGGGCGCAAGCCUGAUCCAGCCAUGCCGCGUGAGUGAAGAAGGCCCUCGGGUUGUAAAGCUCUUUUGUCCGGAAAGAAAAGCGCCGGGUUAAUACCCUGGUGUCCUGACGGUACCGGAAGAAUAAGCACCGGCUAACUUCGUGCCAGCAGCCGAC
rnacentral:rRNA from 1 species